rnacentral:lncRNA from 1 species
AAUUAAUGUAACUUGGUAAAAGAAGACUGCAGCAGGUAGUAAUGACUGAGGCCCAAACUGUGCACCUGGUUUAGAGCUCACAGGAUGAUUUGUUACUUAGUCUUCGUGUCUCCAGGGUGCUGUGUGGCGGGGGUGAAACCCAGUCACUCACUUGUAGCUUUGCCUCCGACUCGCAGGUGGCUCACCCUGAUCCCUGGCUGUCUGAAUAACACGCUCACCUUCAAUUCCCCACCUUCUCUCCAAAAGAGACUUUGAUCGAUGACUCUGACAUUCCUUUCGUGGCAAAAUGAAACGUUCAGUUGGAAAACUGCAAACAGGGAAGUCUGUCCUGGCCCUCGUGAUGGAGUGGCUCAUCCUGUGCCAACAUGGUCCAUUUGCUUGUUCACAUCCACCAGUUCUUCAGGGGU